rnacentral:misc_RNA from 1 species
UCCUCGUUUAGGCGAGGCAGUCUGUCCAGAGUGCUCCGAACUCUCGUCCGGGUGGCAACAGGACAAGGGUUGCGCUCGUUGCGGGACUUAACCCAACAUCUCACGACACGAGCUGACGACAACCAUGCACCACCUGUGCAGGGCCCCGAAGGAGCACCGGCUUUCACCGGCUUCACCCUGCAUGUCAAGCCCUGGUAAGGUUCUUCGCGUUGCGUCGAAUUGAGCCACAUGCUCCGCCGCUUGUGCGGGCCCCCGUCAAUUCCUUUGAGUUUUAACCUUGCGGCCGUACUCCCCAGGCGGAUGACUUAACGCGUUAGCUGCGCCACCGAAACGCUAAGCGCUCCGACAGCUAGUCAUCAUCGUUUACGGCGUGGACUAC